rnacentral:rRNA from 1 species
GAUGAACGCUGGCGGCGUGCCUAAUACAUGCAAGUCGAGCGAACAGAUGAGGAGCUUGCUCCUCUGACGUUAGCGGCGGACGGGUGAGUAACACGUGGAUAACCUACCUAUAAGACUGGGAUAACUUCGGGAAACCGGAGCUAAUACCGGAUAAUAUAUUGAACCGCAUGGUUCAAUAGUGAAAGACGGUUUUGCUGUCACUUAUAGAUGGAUCCGCGCCGCAUUAGCUAGUUGGUAAGGUAACGGCUUACCAAGGCAACGAUGCGUAGCCGACCUGAGAGGGUUGUCCGCCACACUUGAACUGAGACACGGUCCAGACUCCCACGGGAGGCAGCAGUAGGGAAUCUUCCGCAAUUGGCGAAAGCCUGACGGAGCAACGCCGCGGGAGUGAUGAAGGUCUUCGGAUCGUAAAACUCUGUUAUUAGGGAAGAACAAAUGUUUAAGUAACUAUGCACGUCUUGACGGUACCUAAUCAGAAAGCCACGGCUAACUACGUG